GAUCCUGGCUCAGAUUGAACGCUGGCGGCAGGCCUAACACAUGCAAGUCGAACGGUAACAGGAAGCAGCUUGCUGCUUUGCUGACGAGUGGCGGACGGGUGAGUAAUGUCUGGGAAACUGCCUGAUGGAGGGGGAUAACUACUGGAAACGGUAGCUAAUACCGCAUAACGUCGCAAGACCAAAGAGGGGGGACCUUCGGGCCUCUUGCCAUCGGAUGUGCCCAGAUGGGAUUAGCUUGUUGGG
rnacentral:rRNA from 1 species